rnacentral:ncRNA from 1 species
AGGAAGAAAGGCAUAGUAAUUGAUGACAUACUUUGCGGAGUUGAAAAUCAGUAUAAAUCUAGAAGUUCUCGAAUAGGGCAACCUUUUGAAUUGCUUUUGAAUCCAUGGUAGGCAACAGAGAACCAAGCAAACUGAAAUAUCUUACUAGCCAAAGGAAAAAAAAAAGCAAAAAUGAUUCAUAUAGUAGCGGUGGGAAAAAUGAGAGUUUUCUAAACCGUGAAAAUGGGUUUAUGGGAGAGCAAUAAAAGAAUUGUACAUCUAGGCGAAGCAUCCCAAAUGUUGCACCCUAGAUAGCGAAAGUCCAGUAGUUGAAAUAAGUAAAGUAGUUUAUUUCACCUAUUUCAAAUACAUGUAAGACAUCAUAAGUGUAAUGUCCCUCAAUCCUGUUGGCGCUACUGCGAAGGUCCACCA